rnacentral:tRNA from 1 species
GUUUAAAUAGUUUAAUAUAAAAAUGUUGGUUUGUGAUGCCAAAGAUGUAAAGAAUUACUUUAAACC